UACGGGGGGGGCAAGCGUUGUUCGGAAUUACUGGGCGUAAAGGGCUCGUAGGCGGCCAACUAAGUCGGACGUGAAAUCCCCAGGCUUAACCUGGGAACUGCGUCCGAUACUGGAUGGCUUGAAUUCGGGAGAGGGAUGCAGAAUUCCAGGUGUAGCGGUGAAAUGCGUAGAUAUCUGGAGGAAUACCGGUGGCGAAGGCGGCAUCCUGGACCGACAUUGACGCUGAGGAGCGAAAGCUAGGGGAGCAAACGGG
rnacentral:rRNA from 1 species